AAGGCAAUCGAAGGGACACCGGAGAACUUCAAAGAAUACGCGUUCAAUUGAUAGAGCCAUCCCCAGACGGCGAAGAGUACCGCGUCCUCAAGAUGCUCAAUGAAAUCUUAGCCAAGGAAUUCCAAGGGCUUUGCGACCGAUUACCCAUCACGCAAUGCGUUACGCAGUUGGCCUUGGGGUCGAUUGGAGCGGCCAAGUUUGGUAUUUGGGUGUGGCAAAAGGCCAUCGGAUAUUGGGAUGCCGAAGGAAAUCAAAGAGAAACCAGAAAACGAAGGAAUGGAAAUUUGAGCAGUCACGUUGUGGGCAUUAUUAUGGUUCCUCCUGCUGUGGAUGAGGUGAAGGUUUUUAGGAUUUCUAGGGCCUAAAUUUGUUAAACUUGAUGUUGGAACUUGGCAUUGCAGGGGCCUCUUUUCAAAGGGAUUCCAUUGAAUUUUCUUCAAUUUGGAAUUGACAGACACCAACGUAGUGGAUCACACGUACACAUGA